UUGUUGGGUUAAGUCCCGCAACGAGCGCAACCCUCGUCCUUAGUUGCCAGCAUUCAGUUGGGCACUCUAGGGAGACUGCCGGUGACAAACCGGAGGAAGGUGGGGAUGACGUCAAGUCAUCAUGCCCCUUACGUCCUGGGCUACACACGUACUACAAUGCUGUGGACAAAGAGUUGCCAACCCGCGAGGGCGAGCUAAUCUCUUAAACCACGGCUCAGUUCAGAUUGCAGGCUGCAACUCGCCUGCAUGAAGGCGGAAUCGCUAGUAAUCGCAGGUCAGCAUACUGCGGUGAAUACGUUCCCGGGCCUUGUACACACCGCCCGUCACACCAUGGGAGUUGGCCAUGCCCGAAGUCGUUACUCUAACCCGCAAGGGAGGGGGACGCCUAAGGCAGGGCUGAUGACUGGGGUGAAGUCGUAACAAGGUAGCCGUACCGGAAGGUGUGGCUGGAUCACCUCCUUU
rnacentral:rRNA from 1 species